rnacentral:rRNA from 1 species
GACGAACGCUGGCGGCGUGCUUAACACAUGCAAGUCGAACGGAAAGGCCCUGCUUUUGUGGGGUGCUCGAGUGGCGAACGGGUGAGUAACACGUGAGUAACCUGCCCUUGACUUUGGGAUAACUUCAGGAAACUGGGGCUAAUACCGGAUAGGAGCUCCUGCUGCAUGGUGGGGGUUGGAAAGUUUCGGCGGUUGGGGAUGGACUCGCGGCUUAUCAGCUUGUUGGUGGGGUAGUGGCUUACCAAGGCUUUGACGGGUAGCCGGCCUGAGAGGGUGACCGGCCACAUUGGGAAUGAGAAACGACCCAGACUCCUACGGGCGGCAGCAGUGGGGAAUAAUGCACGAUGGGCGGAAGCCUGAUGCAGCAACGCCGCAUGCGGGAUGACGGCCUUCAGGUUGUAAACCGCUUUCGCCUGUGACGAAGCGUGAGUGACGGUAAUGGGUAAAGAAGCACCGGCUAACUACGUG